UACGUAGGGUCCAAGCGUUAUCCGGAAUCACUGGGCGUAAAGCGUGCGUAGGUGGCGUGUUAAGUGUGAUGUUAAAUCGUGGGGCUCAACCCUGUCGAUGCAUCGCAUACUGGCAUGCUAGAGGACGGCAGAGGCAAGUGGAAUUGGUAGUGUAGCAGUGAAAUGCGUAGAUAUUACCAGGAACACCCAAUGGCGAAGGCAGCUUGCUGGGCCACUCCUGACACUGAGGUACGAAAGCGUGGGGAGCGAACAGG
rnacentral:rRNA from 1 species